rnacentral:rRNA from 1 species
GUGUCAGCAGCCGCGGUAAUACGGGGGGAGCAAGCGUUGUCCGGAUUUAUUGGGCGUAAAGGGCGCGUAGGUGGAUUUGUAAGUGAGGGGUGAAAUCCCGGGGCUUAACUCCGGAAUUGCCUUUCAUACUGCAAGUCUCGAGUGCGAGAGGGGAUGAUGGAAUUCCUGGUGUAGCGGUGGAAUGCGUAGAUAUCAGGAGGAACACCGGUGGCGAAGGCGGUCAUCUGGCUCGCAACUGACACUGAGGCGCGAAAGCGUGGGGAGCAAACAGGAUUAGAUACCCUCGUAGUCC